rnacentral:rRNA from 1 species
AUUGAACGCUGGCGGCAUGCCUUACACAUGCAAGUCGAACGGCAGCACGGGUGCUUGCACCUGGUGGCGAGUGGCGAACGGGUGAGUAAUACAUCGGAACAUGUCCUGUAGUGGGGGAUAGCCCGGCGAAAGCCGGAUUAAUACCGCAUACGAUCUACGGAUGAAAGCGGGGGACCUUCGGGCCUCGCGCUAUAGGGUUGGCCGAUGGCUGAUUAGCUAGUUGGUGGGGUAAAGGCCUACCAAGGCGACGAUCAGUAGCUGGUCUGAGAGGACGACCAGCCACACUGGGACUGAGACACGGCCCAGACUCCUACGGGAGGCAGCAGUGGGGAAUUUUGGACAAUGGGCGAAAGCCUGAUCCAGCAAUGCCGCGUGUGUGAAGAAGGCCUUCGGGUUGUAAAGCACUUUUGUCCGGAAAGAAAUCCUUGGCCCUAAUACGGUCGGGGGAUGACGGUACCGGAGGAAUAAGCACCGGCUAACUACGUG